UUCCGGUUGAUCCUGCCAGAGGUUACUGCUAUCGGAGUUCGAUUAAGCCAUGCGAGUCUAAAGGUUUCUUCGGAAACCUUGGCGGACUGCUCAGUAACACGUGGAUAACCUACCCUUGGGACUGGAAUAACCCCGGGAAACUGGGGAUAAUACCGGAUAGAUCAGGGAUGCUGGAAUGCACCUUGAUCCAAAGCUCCGGCGCCCAAGGAUGGGUCUGCGGCCUAUCAGGUAGUAGUGGGUGUAACGUACCUACUAGCCAACGACGGGUACGGGUUGUGAGAGCAAGAGCCCGGAGAUGGAUUCUGAGACACGAAUCCAGGCCCUACGGGGUGCAGCAGGCGCGAAACCCUUACAAUGUGCGAAAGCAUGAUAAGGGAACCCCGAGUGCCAGCAUCAAAUGUUGGCUGUCCAGAUGAUUAAAAAUCAUUUGUUAGCAAGGGCCGGGCAAGACCGGUGCCAGCCGCCGCGGUAACACCGGCGGCCCGAGUGGUAGCCGUUUUUAUUGGGUCUAAAGGGUCCGUAGCCGGCCUGAUAAGUCCUUUGGGAAAUCUGGCAGCUUAACUGUCAGGCUUCUAAGGGAUACUGUCAGGCUUGGGACCGGAAGAGGUAAGGGGUACUCCAGGGGUAGGAGUGAAAUCUUGUAAUCCCUGGGGGACCAUCUGUGGCGAAGGCGCCUUACCAGAACGGGUCCGACGGUGAGGGACGAAAGCUAGGGGAGCAAACCGGAUUAGAUACCCGGGUAGUCCUAGCUGUAAACGAUGCUCGCUAGGUGUCAGACACGGUGCGACCGUGUUUGGUGCCGCAGGGAAGCCGUUAAGCGAGCCACCUGGGAAGUACGGUCGCAAGGCUGAAACUUAAAGGAAUUGGCGGGGGAGCACUACAACGGGUGGAGCCUGCGGUUUAAUUGGAUUCAACGCCGGG
rnacentral:rRNA from 1 species